rnacentral:rRNA from 1 species
UGGGAUCAGUGGCGAACGGGUGAGUAACACGUGAGCAACCUGCCCCUGACUCUGGGAUAAGCGCUGGAAACGGCGUCUAAUACUGGAUAUGUGACGUGACCGCAUGGUCUGCGUCUGGAAAGAAUUUCGGUUGGGGAUGGGCUCGCGGCCUAUCAGCUUGUUGGUGAGGUAAUGGCUCACCAAGGCGUCGACGGGUAGCCGGCCUGAGAGGGUGACCGGCCACACUGGGACUGAGACACGGCCCAGACUCCUACGGGAGGCAGCAGUGGGGAAUAUUGCACAAUGGGCGCAAGCCUGAUGCAGCAACGCCGCGUGAGGGACGACGGCCUUCGGGUUGUAAACCUCUUUUAGCAGGGAAGAAGCGAAAGUGACGGUACCUGCAGAAAAAGCGCCGGCUAACUACGUGCCAGCAGCCGCGGUAAUACGUAGGGCGCAAGCGUUAUCCGGAAUUAUUGGGCGUAAAGAGCUCGUAGGCGGUUUGUCGCGUCUGCUGUGAAAUCCGGAGGCUCAACCUCCGGCCUGCAGUGGGUACGGGCAGACUAGAGUGCGGUAGGGGAGAUUGGAAUUCCUGGUGUAGCGGUGGAAUGCGCAGAUAUCAGGAGGAACACCGAUGGCGAAGGCAGAUCUCUGGGCCGUAACUGACGCUGAGGAGCGAAAGGGUGGGGAGCAAACAGGCUUAGAUACCCUGGUAGUCCACCCCGUAAACGUUGGGAACUAGUUGUGGGGUCCAUUCCACGGAUUCCGUGACGCAGCUAACGCAUUAAGUUCCCCGCCUGGGGAGUACGGCCGCAAGGCUAAAACUCAAAGGAAUUGACGGGGACCCGCACAAGCGGCGGAGCAUGCGGAUUAAUUCGAUGCAACGCGAAGAACCUUACCAAGGCUUGACAUAUACGAGAACGGGCCAGAAAUGGUCAACUCUUUGGACACUCGUAAACAGGUGGUGCAUGGUUGUCGUCAGCUCGUGUCGUGAGAUGUUGGGUUAAGUCCCGCAACGAGCGCAACCCUCGUUCUAUGUUGCCAGCACGUAAUGGUGGGAACUCAUGGGAUACUGCCGGGGUCAACUCGGAGGAAGGUGGGGAUGACGUCAAAUCAUCAUGCCCCUUAUGUCUUGGGCUUCACGCAUGCUACAAUGGCCGGUACAAAGGGCUGCAAUACCGCGAGGUGGAGCGAAUCCCAAAAAGCCGGUCCCAGUUCGGAUUGAGGUCUGCAACUCGACCUCAUGAAGUCGGAGUCGCUAGUAAUCGCAGAU